rnacentral:pre_miRNA from 1 species
UCUUACGGAUGAGCAAAGAAAGUGGUUUCUUGAGAUGGAAUCUACUGUAGGUAAAGAUGCUGUGAA